rnacentral:tRNA from 1 species
GGUUGUGGCUCUGUGGCAAAGCACUCGCCUAGCACGUGCGAGGCCCUGGGUUCAAUCCUCAGCACCA